UCUUUAAUGUUACUACUUACAUUUCUAAAUUAUGUAUUUUACUUAACUCUGAAAUCAGUUAUUUCACUUAUUUUUUUCUUCAUAUCAUGAACGUUCUAAAAAUAUUCCUUAUAAAUUUGCAUCACUUUUUCUCUUGUGGCUUUUGAAGUUACUAUAUUCUAAACUUGAGAAGAUGGUAUAAAUCAAUAAUAGAAGAGUCACUGGGGAGCUGGUGAGAUGGCUCAGUGGGUAAGAGCACUGACUUCUUUUCCAAAGGUACUGAAUUCAAAUCCCAGCAACCACAUGGUGGCUCACAGCCUCCCAUAGUGAGAUCUGAUGCCCUAUUCUGAUGUGUUUGAAGACAGCUACGGUGAACUUAUAAUAAUAAAUAAAUCUUAAAAAAAAAAAAAAAGAGGUGUCACUGGAGGAGUUUAAUUUUGUAUUUUUUAUAUUUAGGUCCAGCUAUUAAAGUGUGUAAGUCUGGGAAAUUUAAUUUUUUUUCUUAAAUUAGUGCUAUAUACAAAUGUUCUCAGUUUUAUAAGGUGAUCAUGUGCUUUCUGUUUUUAAAUUUACAUUUUCUGAGGUGGUGAAGACUUAGGUUCUGAUCAAUAAGCAUGAUAGGGCAUGUAGACUAUACGGGAAGGCUCCUGAGCCCACAGUAUAUAGUGAGCAUGAUAGGGCAUGUAGACUAUACGGGAAGGCUCCCGAGCUCACAGUAUGCACUGGUCACGCCGGGGAACUGUAGAGUGUAUGGGCUCUGUGUGUAAUUCACGUUCUGACAUCGCCAGAAAGACGGGACUGGGAGCUUCAUGUCUGCAUGAAACUUCCUAUAUCUUUAAUGUGUGUAUAGACUUACUUUUUCUUUAAAUAUUAAAGUCUACCAAUUGCUACAACAGUUCUUGGUUGUUUCCCUCAAUGUAAUGAUGGCCAUAGUGGGAAUGUUAUUUGAGCACAUUUCUCAAUUCUUCAUUAGCCUUUUUUUUUUUUUUUUUUGUACGCUUCUAGGAACUCAAUGAGCAUUUGAGCUUUGAGUUUGCCGAGGUGUAUAGUAUCUAUUUUCACUUUGUUUCAUUCAUGUUCAGUAUAAUGAACUUGGAAUCUUCCAAGGGAAAAAGAUUAGUCUUGAUCCUUAAUUUUGUUAAAUGAUAGAAUAAACUACAAAGGCUAACAGCAGAAAAAGUUUCAAGAAGAGCAGUUUUAUCAUCUGGGGUCGCUUCUCUGAACUCUUCUCAACUGGGCGGGUAGUGUCUCUGAGGACUUCUGCCAGGUGACUCCACAGUGCCUCAGCAGGUGGCUACUGGGUGAGGACUUCACUCUGCAUUCUGACCUGGUAUUUUCUCCUCCCCUAGUGCUUUCUCUCUGUAUUGUCAACUUUUUAUUUCUAUGACAACAUACUUUUAAAGUAAAAGGAUAAUGGGUUUAUU
rnacentral:lncRNA from 1 species